AAACCACAAUGUUAAGAGAGGCCCCCCUCUGGUCUGAUUAAGACUUGGUUGGACGUACACAUCAUGAGCAUCUGCCUGUUCUGCUUAUGUCUGUCUUGGAGAAAAGCAAGGCAUGAGUCUUGGUUACAGAAAACCAGGAAUUAAAAUUUGUAACGAAGGGUUGUAUGUUUAUUUUUCCUUUUGGAGAAGAGGAAUGUGGAAGAAAAUUACAGGGCCAAUUCUGUAUGAGUCUCCUGGUGCCCGACGCCACACGUGAGGCUGAGUCAUCAGCCCAGGAGGAGGUGGCCUGCUCAGGCCAUGCGGGCACUCACCGGCCACAGUCAGCCCGAGCUGAGUGGUUCGCUGUGCCCUGUGAUUUCUGCUUAGCCCCUGGAUCAAGGGCCUAUCCUGACUCAAGGCAAACUGGAUCUAGGUUCCUGCCUCAGGAAAUAAAUGCCAGAUUCAGUGUGGAGUCAUCUGACCAAGGCUGGGAAAGAAGUCAGAUGAGAGAGGCUCCUCUCGCCACGAGCUCUGCAGUUUGGCCGGAAAGCCCCUAGAGGGCAGUGUGAGGAAACUGAGCUGGGACUGCUGGGACUUACUUUAAGGGCUGUUCCCUCUGGAUAGGAAGAAAAAGAGGAUGCAGACAACUGGAAGCUCCCCAGUCGAAACGUCUGUGUACUCCAUGAUGACAGGAGCCAAAGAUCUCACUGUGGGAAUCUUCCAUUGUCCCUAACACGGGGCUGGGCAUCUAAAAGGUGCCCACUAAGCACAUGUUGAUUUUUAGAAGGGAAAGAAAGUACAUGUCACCUAAACCAGAAGAAAAUCCCCCAAUCAUGGAUAUUUGGAUCCAGAGUGUAUGUUUAUGAUGACAGUUGCCUUUUGGAACAAAAUAUAGUACCAGGCUAGGGGAGUUGUCUUGUCUCUUCUUUCUCCCUUUUUUUUUUUUUUUUU